GGAGGAGAAAGACAGAAGGCAGAGGAGACAGGGAUGAGAGAGAGGGAAGGCAGAGGAGACAGGGAGGAGAGAGAGGGAAGGCAGAGGAGACAGGGAGGAGAGAGAGGGAAGGCAGAGGAGACAGGGAGGAGAAAGACAGAAGGCAGAGGAGACAGGGAGGAGAGAGAGGGAAGGCAGAGGAGAGAGGGAGGAGAGAGAGGGAAGGCAGAGAGGAGAAAGACAGAAGGCAGAGGAGACAGGGAGGAGAGAGACAGACGGCAGAGGAGACAGGGAGGAGAAAGACAGAAGGCAGAGGAGACAGGGAGGAGAGAGAGGGAAGGCAGAGGAGAGAGGGAGGAGAGAGACAGACAGCAGAGGAGACAGGGAGGAGAAAGACAAAAGGCAGAGGAGACAGGGAGGAGAGAGACAGAAGGCAGACGGCAGAGGAGACAGGGAGGAGAGAGAGGGAAGGCAGAGGAGAGAGGGAGGAGAAAGACAGAAGGCAGAGGAGAGAGGGAGGAGAGAGACAGAAGGCAGAGGAGACAGGGAGGAGAAAGACAGAAGGCAGAGGAGACAGGGAGGAGAGAGACAGAAGGCAGAGACGGAGGAGAGAGAGGGAAGGC
ensembl:lncRNA